CAGACCUGAAAUCAGGCGAGGUUACCCGCUGAACUUAAGCAUAUUAUUAAGCGGAGGAGAAGAAAAUAACUAUGAUUCCCUUAUAACGGCGAGUGAACCGGGAUCAGCUCAAAGUGGAAAUCAACUGCUCUUUCCGAGCUGUUGACUUGUAGCCUCGAGAGGCGUUACCAGUGGAAGCGCAGGGUUAAGUUUCUUGGGAAAGAACAUCAUAGAGGGUGAGAAUCCCGUCCUUCCCCUGCGUUUUUUGUUCCACGUACGGUACGCUUUUAUAGAGUCGCGUUCAUCGGGAUUUGAGCGCAAAAUGUGUGGUAGGUUUCACAUAAAGCUAAGUACUGGCGCGAGACCGAUAGCAAACAAGUACCGUGAGGGAAAGAUGAAAAGUUCUUUGGAAAGAGAGUUAAAAGUGCCUGAAAUUGCUGAAAAGGAAGCGAUUGGGACCUUUUUGAUUCCAAGAAGUGCCGCCGGUUUGCCAUCUAUCCCUUUGCCUUCUCUCUCUCACCAGGUUUAGGCUUUGGUUUCUUGAUGUAUUUCCGGUUCAUCUUUUUGGAGAGGUCAGCAUCAGCUACUCGGAAUUGAUUUCGUUCAAAGAAGGUAGGUUCCUUGUGGACCGUUAUAUCUUUGUUCUUUCCUUUUCCUUGUGGCUGAGGAGUGUUCCUGUUUCCGAGCUCCACUUUCGAGUACUCGGUUUCUGUGAUGCUGGCUUAAUCGGUUCCAA